CACUUCCUUGUUGGUUUAAGAAUUCUAACAUGCAGACACUUGUCUUUUUGAUAUUAUUGAGACUGACUUUGUCCUCUGGAUACCGUCACGGAAUCUCAGUGGUAGAGCGCUAGCUUUGUAACCAGGAUCUCGUUUGUCCGAGCCCUGAUCAUGCUAUGGCCUCGUCAAACCUUAGAAAUGAUUGCUUCUUCCCUAAAUGCGAGACAUUUAGAUGUGAAAAUCAUGUGUGUUUCGUAUAUCAUCAUAACAACGGAUGUCCUUGUCGCGAUAGGCGUUAGUACAUUAAUUCAGAACCCUUACUGUUACGGCCGUAAGCGCUAAACAUAGGUCUGUGGUGUUUCAUCUACAGCUGAUGCCGUCUUUUAAAAUGAGUGAAAACAUCUCGACUCGACGUAAAACAAACAAAUCACUGAAUCAAUCUUUCUCGGCUGUGCACUUAACGAUGAUUACUUCCAUGACGGAA